rnacentral:rRNA from 1 species
AACUAGGAUUAGAUACCCUACUAUUAAAUUAUAACUCUUAGGUACUACCUGAAAAUCAAAAAAUUAAAAGAAAUUGGCGGCUUUUUUAAAAUUUUAGAGGAGUUUAUUCUUUAAUGGAUUCAACUCCUAAACCUUACUUAAUUUUGUAAUUUAACAAUUUGUAUACCUCUAUAGCUAUAAUAAAAAAUUUUAUUAAAAACUCUUAUUUAAGAUUUAAAUUAAGUCAAGGUGCAGUAAAUUUUUAAGAAUGAAAUAAACUAUAUCAAUAGUAUAUUAAAUCAAAAUUAAUUAUGAAAUAAAAUUUUUUUAGAAAAAUUUAAAAGUAAAUUUUUAUUUAUAAUAUUUAAUUGAAUCAUAAAUAACAAGUGUACAUAUUGCCCGUCACUCUUUAUAAAAGAUAAGUCGUAACAUAGU